UUGUUGUUUCUCUAAAUUAUUGAAAAGGAUAAGGAAUAUACAGAAUGGCAAUUGUCUAAAGACAUCUUAUAUAAAGACGAAAAUGAACCUUUUCUGCAGAGAUAAUAUGAUUACUUUUUAAGAAGAGAACCAUGUCAUUCUUUUAUGGUCGUCCGAGAAUAAAUUCCAAGACAACUAUCUACAAGAUCAAAGAAAGGCGAAAUCACGUAGAAAUAGAUGAGUUACGAGGAAGAGAUAGGGUCAAGGUCAGAAAGAAGGCGUCAGCUGAAGGUCGAGUUGGGGUCAGAUGAAGACAUCAGUAAAAAUCAUGAAUGUCACAGGAACACAAUCAGUGACAACAGAUGUGCUGGCAAACAAUGUCUUAAAAAUAUCAGGAAAUUUGAUAUUUCAUCCAGUGUUAAUCAAGAUGGGGGCAAUAGAAAGGA